GUCGUAAUUUCGGUUUUUAAAAUGGAGCGAGGGGGGGGGCAUUAGAAAAAAAAACCGCCCGUCAACUUACAUUUUCACCUCAAUACAAAACACCAUUUUUACAUCGUUUCACGUACUUAAUAAUUUUAAAACGGGUUGAAUAACUUAAACAUAUUAUCUUUAAUACUCAUCGUACGCAUAAACAAUCAAUUUUUUUUUAGUGACAACGACGACUGAAUAAUAAAUAUUGGCGUGGAGGAAUGUCUGAACAUAUAUUACGUAUUAGCUACUGAAUGAAGACCUGGUUAGAGGGGAAUUUCACUCUUAUUUGUGUAUCAUAAAGUCAUAAAAACACGUAUGACAUGAAUCGUGUUUGCGGGCUCGCGGCCCAAAAUUGGCACGACACCGGCCCGCUGAUGACGAGAAGGGGGGGAACAAAUUUUAUCUAGUUGGCAGUUUGAGGAG